rnacentral:misc_RNA from 1 species
AAAAGAGAAACCCUUACGAAUUCCAAAAUGUCAGAUAGCAACUGAGGAAAAACUAAGAAAGUCGAGGAAGUUACUUGGAAACCUCCUUCCUCUUCUCUUUCCCUCUUCACUUCACUCAUCUUCUUCUUUCUCCUGUUGCUGCUGCUGCUUCUUCAAUUUGUCUCAUGAAUCCCCACAAAACCGAACACGAUAUCUUCCACAAUCAUCACCAUGAUCUGGGUCCACCUCCCCAGAUCAUCCCCACCCACCAAACUCAAUCCCGGCCGUCCAUUCAAGACGACCUCUCACUCUCCGAAAUUGUCCUCUUCCGCUCCUCUUCUCCGGAAUCGCCGAGUCAGUCCUCCUCCGACAACGAUGACUCGUUGAUUCACCCGACUCACUCCAAUCCCAAGAGCAAUGCCUCUCAUAGCAGUCAUGCUCCGGCUUACAUUAACCCGGAGCCUCAUAUAUCUUCCCAAUUCUACACAUUCAAUGUGGAGUCUCACUCUCUCAUGAUUAGCUGCAUUCUCGAGCACCGCCUCGCCACUCCCGACGAGAUCCGCGCCGCUACGCCGCGCUCUGUCUUGAAAUCGUGGCGCGCUGUUUGGAAGGACCGCAACGAGGACACCGCCUAUGUGACCGGGUGGAAGCGCAUCCAGGAGAAGCUCACGGCUCACGUUGACCCAGCUUCUGGUAACGAAUUUCUUUGCUUCAAGAACAACUCUCAACAAUUUGUUUCUCAUAUUAGCCAAUGGCAAGAUAUUGUUAUGAGCUUUCAUGGGGAUGCAGAUUUAAAGCACCUAGGGCUUAGAGAAACCAUAGAGAGAAUUAAACAAGUAUGGACUGUAGGGGCUAAGUUUUAUGGAAUUCCCGAGAGUUACAUUAGGGUUUGUGUAGCUGCUUGCCCUGUGUGCUCGGCCUCUGAGGGUUCUGGUUCCAGGAACAAGCGCCGUCGUUUUGAAUACACCGAGUCAUUUGAUGUUCCUGCUAAGGAGGUGCCGCAUAGGCUACAGCAAUUGGCUGCCAAACAUAAGGUUGUGCUUUGUAUUAGGCAAAAGUAUAUUAGGUAUAAGCCUUUUAUGGCUGAGGUUAAGGAUUAUGCUUGUCAUAGGGCUGGUGAGCCCGUAACCAAGAAGUCCAGGAUUUUGAAGAGGGAGCCUUAUGCUUCGAAGAGAUGUGGGUGUGGGUUUAGGAUUCGGGCAAUAGUGCCAAUCACCAAGUACAAUGAGAAGGAUAAGACAUUUGUGUAUCAAGAAGAGGGGAUGGCAGUCUUCAAACUAUAUGCAGUGCAUUCGGGCCAUGAGCCAGGACCCUUGGAUGGGAAUGCGAGGAUUAUGCAUCGGGUUGUUGGGAGUAAAGGUAGCUUUAUGAUGGAUCAAGAAAUGGACUAUGGUGUGCGUGAUGAUGUUGACAGUGAGGGGUUUGGGUUGAUGGGGAAGGAUGAAGGGGACUUGCAGCUUUCAGUUUUGCAGCAGGUGCAGGAGUUGAGAAAUGAAAUUGGGUUGUUGGAGGGGAGAUUAAGGAAAAUUCCUAGUGAAUUUUUGGCUUCGGUGUCGCAGGAGUUGUUUGAUGUUGUUAAUAAAGUUAGGAGUAUGGGGGAAGACAGCUCAAAGACAAUUGGGCUGCUUUCACACAAGCCUCAUGCAGAUGAUGUGCUAGUUGGUGAUAACGAUUUGCCACACUGGAGUGAUCAUCAUCACGAAAGGAUAUAUGGGAAUGGCAAGGAAACAGAGUUGAUUGAUGAUGAUGAAGAUAGUUUUGGACGGACGCUUGGGGAUGUGGUUCCUUGGGACCAGAUGAGGACAGAGUGUAGGAGUGACAAGGAUCUGAUGAGUGAGCCUUGUAAGCCUGAAAAGUGGUUGAAGUGCAGCGAUUUUGAUGAGAAGAGCAUACUUGACUGUGAAGAUACUAAACUAACCAAGCCCAUGAGACAUGAUGAGGCUAUAGUGACAGAUGUAGGUCUUAUACAGGUUGAUAGUUUCUAUCAAGAGAAUCCUAAAUGGUAUGAUUCUCCUUGUGGGUUAGACUCCAGUGCAGAUUGUGGGGACAGUGGAUUCAGGCAUGGGGAGAUUGUUUAGAGCCCUGAGAGCUGGUUAACCCACUCUAACAUAGUCAUUGAGUUUAUAUCUUGCCCAUCCAUAUGUUGUCUGGUGGAAGUGGGCUGUACAUUUAUGUAUACUGAAGAUUGGAGCUUCUGACAUGCUUUUAGCUAUCUUUGUUGUGUGUUGUUCUGUAAAGUAUGCCCAAUUGGGCUUUCUGCACAUACCUUACUUAUGACUAGCGGUAACCAUUUUCUGGACGUUUAUAACUUUCAGGUGGUUCCUUUUAUAAUGCGUAUCAUUCAGUUAUUCUUGCAUGUAUUAUAUAUUAAAUCUUGCUUUCUACUUUCUAGUCCUAACAUUGCAAGAUGAUAGGUCGGGGCUUUUCUCUUUUUUUUUAAAAAAAAUCUUUUGUUCAGGCUUAUGUGCCAGUGUCUUGAUAACUGUUCAUUUGUUUGAUUUACAUGAUCACUUUUCUUUCCCACAUUCAAGCAAUUAAUAGCCAUUUGUUGGUGUUUUUAUUGUACUAGCAUUCAAGGUUCAAUUGUGAUGCAUUUGGAUCAAAGUUCUGUAAGUAGGUGGCAGGUCUUUUGUUGUAGUAAUUUGCUGCGUAUGUGUUAUUGGAACUUAUAUGCUCUUAUCAUCUGGCAUUAAAUAUAGUGUAGCCUCUUAUAUUUUAAGUGUAGACCUUCCAUUCUUGUGGAUUUUUUGUGCAUAUGUUAGCUGUCUGCUAAUACAUUCUUAAUAGUGUUGGCCAAUUAAGUGGAUGGCAUAUUUCUCUUGACGCCUUGAGAUCAACUAGUUUUGGAUAGUUUAAUUCUUUUUCUACUAUGGCCAUCUUUUUCCAUGCAUAUUUAAAGCUUUUGCUGCAUCCUACAUUAUUUUCAAAAUUAUGAUUUGUUUAGGGAUACUGAAAGUAGUACUUUAAUUACUUUAAUGGGUGGUAAUUGGGAGUGUUCUUUUUUUAAUAUUUUUUGAAUAAGCUUAUUUAAAUGUAAUUAUCCCUUUUUUCUUGUUCCCACUAAUUGUUAGUUGCAUGUUUUAUUGUUGAGUAAAUAACUCCUAUAAUUGCUCGAGUUAUUUCUUCAGUCUGCAAAGGCCAUUUUACCUGGCAAAAGAAAUCCAAUUUGGAAGCAGUAUGGAGGUAAGUAGCAGCAUUCCGUUGAAGGUGAUAAAAAGGUAUGCCUGAAGAUUAUAUAGUUCAUUUCUGAAAAAGAUUGUGCUUUUCUUCAGACAGUAUGGUUACCUGUUACCUAAAUCAUGCUUUGGUGAGGUUUGAUAUCUUCAGGAUAAAUGACGCUGUUCUACUUCUAAUGCUGAAAUCUAUUGUUUCCUUCUUGCUGGCUGCACAACAACCCUCUCCCCCCCCUUUCCCUCAUCUUUUUUUCUUUCUUUUCUCUCUCUCUCACAUUCUACACUGGAGGGUAAUAAAGUAGUUUCAUUCUGAGGCUUAGAAUUCUUACUGCUCCAUUCUUUUUUAGUUUUAUUUUUACUAAUUUGGCAAAUAUCAAUACUUGGGGGCGUUAUUCUGCUCAAUUCAUAAAAGCAAUUUCUUUGUAAACAUUGAGCUGAGUGCUCUUGUAUUAUGAAUGAAAUGUUGAUUGGUUUCUGAA